GAUGAAGAACGCAGCGAAAUGCAAUAAGUAAUGUGAAUUGCAGAAUUCAGUGAAUCAUCGAAUCUUUGAACGCACAUUGCGCCCGCCAGCAUUCUGGCGGGCAUGCCUGUUCGAGCGUCAUUUCAACCCUCGAGCCCCCCCGGGGGCCUCGGUGUUGGGGGACGGCACACCAGCCGCCCCCGAAAUGCAGUGGCGACCCCGCCGCAGCCUCCCCUGCGUAGUAGCACACACCUCGCACCGGAGCGCGGAGGCGGUCACGCCGUAAAACGCCCAACUUUCUUAGAGUUGACCUCGGAUCAGGUAGGAAUACCCGCUGAACUUAAGCAUAUCAAUAAGCGGAGGA
rnacentral:misc_RNA from 1 species